rnacentral:rRNA from 1 species
GACGAACGCUGGCGGCGUGCUUAACACAUGCAAGUCGAACGGAAAGGCCCUGCUUUUGUGGGGUGCUCGAGUGGCGAACGGGUGAGUAACACGUGAGUAACCUGCCCUUGACUUUGGGAUAACUUCAGGAAACUGGGGCUAAUACCGGAUAGGAGCUCCUGCUGCAUGGUGGGGGUUGGAAAGUUUCGGCGGUUGGGGAUGGACUCGCGGCUUAUCAGCUUGUUGGUGGGGUAGUGGCUUACCAAGGCUUUGACGGGUAGCCGGCCUGAGAGGGUGACCGGCCACAUUGGGACUGGGAUACGGCCCAGACCCCUACGGGAGGAAGGAGGGGGGAAUAUUGCAAAAGGGGCGGAAGCCUGAUGCAGCAACGCCGGGGGCGGGAUGACGGCCUUCGGGUUGUAAACCGCUUUCGCCUGGGACGAAGGGUGAGUGACGGUAAUGGGUAAAGAAGCACCGGCUAACUACGU